AAACUUACCUGGCAGAGAAGAUACCAUGAUCAUGAAGGUAGUUUUCCCAGGGUGAGGCUUAUCCAUUGCCCUCCAGAUGUGCUGACCCCCGAGAUUUCCCCAAAUUCGGGAAACUCGACUGCAUAAUUUGUGGUACUGGGGACUGCCUUUGCGCUCUCCCCUG
rnacentral:snRNA from 1 species